rnacentral:misc_RNA from 1 species
AAGAAAUCCAAUCUCUUACUGGGACUCAGGUACCUGAUGAAAUCCCUUCGGAUACUCAGUUACCUGAUGAAAGCCCUUUGGGAACACUGGACCUUCAUUCAGACAUCUUAUCCAUGAAGGAACCAUUACCGGCAGAUAUUCCAGUGUGCAUCCUGAAAUGCAAAUCAGUUUUUAAGUGUAAGUUGUGCCCUAGAGUUGUCUGUUUGAAUGAGGAGACAUUAAAGGCUCAUCUUAAAUCCAAGAGACACGCUCGUUCUGAGAAAUUAUUGAAUGAAGGCAGACUGAAAAUUAUGCUCAACAACAAUGGAGAGAUUGAAAAUCCUGAAAAUUCUACUGAGUCUCCUCCUCGACUUCCUGCUUUUCCACCGGAACAUCGUAGAAGGAAAAACAAGUCACGACAAAGUUAUGGAUCACAGGCAAAGAGGUCAAACAAGAAAGAAAAGAAGCAUUUGAAUGGUGGUCAAAUGAGAGGAUCAA